rnacentral:rRNA from 1 species
CGUAGGUGGCAAGCGUUGUCCGGAAUUAUUGGGCGUAAAGCGCGCGCAGGCGGUUCCUUAAGUCUGAUGUGAAAGCCCCCGGCUCAACCGGGGAAGGUCAUUGGAAACUGGGGAACUUGAGUGCAGAAGAGAAGAGCGGAAUUCCACGUGUAGCGGUGAAAUGCGUAGAGAUGUGGAGGAACACCAGUGGCGAAGGCGGCUCUUUGGUCUGUAACUGACGCUGAGGCGCGAAAGCGUGGGGAGCAAACAGGAUUAGAUACCCUGGUAGUCCACGCCGUAAACGAUGAGUGCUAAGUGUUAGAGGGUUUCCGCCCUUUAGUGCUGCAGCUAACGCAUUAAGCACUCCGCCUGGGGAGUACGGCCGCAAGGCUGA